GGUGGCUCAGUGGUAGAGUGCUUGCCUUGCAAGCCGGAGGCCCUGGGUUCGAUUCCUCAGCACCA
rfam:Dipodomys ordii contig_58428, whole genome shotgun sequence.